ensembl:lncRNA
GAUACCAGGAGAACAGGUAGUUAGGUCUGGCAGCCUGUUGCUAGGAUACCAGGAGAACAGGUAGUUAGGUCUGGCAGCCUGUUGCUAGGAUACCAGGAGAACAGGUAGUUAGGUCUGGCAGCCUGUUUCUCUGACACCAGAAGAACAGGUAGUUAGGUCUGGCAGCCUGUUGCUAGGAUACCAGAAGAACAGGUAGUUAGGUCUGGCAGCCUGUUGCUAGGACACCAGAAGAACAGGCAGUGAGUUCUGAAGUCCACGGGGUUUCAGUACAGAGGGGGCAGAAGCACAUGGGACUGUCUGCC